rnacentral:lncRNA from 13 species
AGGAGUCAGUUGCUUCUGUAACAACUGAAUUCUUGUCCUGGCAUCAUAUUAUUUAUGAGGAGAGGAGGCAUACAGAAGGAGCGCUUGUGCUUGGCUGGAGGGGCUUCGCUCACGUGCCCUUCCUGGACCAUUCAUCACGGGAAGAAACUGCCCAUGGGAAACUGCCCUCCGAAUCCUCAGUGCUGGUCCCUUAUUGGGAGCAAAGUUGGAGGUCUCUUGCUGCUGUUGCUGUCUCCUGGGUGAGCCCCUACAGACUGAAUGGGUAGAUGUUACUUGGGCCCUUUAAUGAAAGGUUUUGCCCCUCAUCACAGUAACCCAUGCUCUUUGUGAAAAAAAAAAAAAACAAUUAAAUAGAGAAAACACCAAAAAGAUACCUAAACCCUAAGAAUUGCUUGCAAUCUCUAGCACAUUAAAGUUAUUUACCUUUAGCCCUUUUUAUGCAUUUACGAAUAUUUGCUUUAUACUCUUGAGAUUUUACUGAAUAUGUGAUUUCAAGUGCUGAGCUUUUACGACCAAACAUUAUGUCAUGAACAUUUUCUAAUAUAAAAGUAGAAAAGCUGUUUAAUUCAUUUUAAUUACUAGGUUGUUUCAUUUUCUUUGCUAGUUGAAUAGUGCUGUGAUAAACCAUAUGAACAUAAAUAUCUGGAUUUCAUAAUUUUGUCCUUACUGUAUAUUCUGGCAAGCAGAAUUACUCAAUCAAAGGUUAGGAGUACAGUUAAAGCUUUUGAUACAUUCAUAAGUUGUGGCUAUAACCUUUACUUCUUCCAAAUCAAGAGUACCAGUGCUUAUCUCAGAGUUUCUUGCCAGAAUUAAACAGUAAAUUUAAAAUCAUAGUUAAUUCUGCACAUGAGAAACAUACGUUGUUAUUUGUGUUAGCAUAUUCUUUGAUUACCAGAAAGGCUGAACAUGCUGUCACAUGCUUAUUUACAAAUCUCAGGUUCUUUUAGGUUAAUAUUUUGUUCACACUGUUUCCUCAUUUGGAGGUGUGAUGGUUAAUACAGAGUGUCAACUUGAGGAGAUUGAGGGAUGCAAAGUAUUAAUCCUGGUGUGUCUGUGUGAGUGUUGCCAAAAGAGAUUAACAUUUGAAUUACUGAGCUGGAGAAGGCAAAUCCAUCCUUAAUCUGGUGGGCAAAAUCUAAUUAGCUUCCAGGGAAUAUAAAGCAGGCAGAAAAACGUGAAAAGGAGAGCUGGGCCUAGCCUCCGAGACUACGUCUUUCUCUCAUGCCUGAUGUUUCCUGCCCUG